ACGGAAGGCAGCCGUGGGGAAUAUUGCACAAUGGGGGAAACCCUGAUGCAGCGACGCCGCGUGAGUGAUGAAGUAUUUCGGUAUGUAAAACUCUAUCAGCAGGGAAGAUAAUGACGGUACCUGACUAAGAAGCACCGGCUAAAUACGUGCCAGCAGCCGCGGUAAUACGUAUGGUGCAAGCGUUAUCCGGAUUUACUGGGUGUAAAGGGUGCGUAGGUGGUAUGGCAAGUCAGAAGUGAAAACACGGGGCUCAACCCCGUGACUGCUUUUGAAACUGUCAAACUAGAGUGCAGGAGAGGAAAGCGGAAUUCCCAGUGUAGCGGUGAAAUGCGUAGAUAUUAGGAGGAACACCAGUGGCGAAGGCGGCUUUCUGGACUGUAACUGACACUGAGGCACGAAAGCGUGGGGAGCAAACAGGAUUAGAUACCCUGGUA
rnacentral:rRNA from 1 species